GUGGGGAAUAUUGGACAAUGGGGGGAACCCUGAUCCAGCCAUGCCGCGUGUGUGAAGAAGGCCUUUUGGUUGUAAAGCACUUUAAGCGAGGAGGAGGCUACCGAGAUUAAUACUCUUGGAUAGUGGACGUUACUCGCAGAAUAAGCACCGACUAACUCUGUGCCAGCAGCCGCGGUAAUACAGAGGGUGCAAGCGUUAAUCGGAUUUACUGGGCGUAAAGCGCGCGUAGGUGGCCAAUUAAGUCAAAUGUGAAAUCCCCGAGCUUAACUUGGGAAUUGCAUUCGAUACUGGUUGGCUAGAGUAUGGGAGAGGAUGGUAGAAUUCCAGGUGUAGCGGUGAAAUGCGUAGAGAUCUGGAGGAAUACCGAUGGCGAAGGCAGCCAUCUGGCCUAAUACUGACACUGAGGUGCGAAAGCAUGGGGAGCAAACAGGAUUAGAUACCCCAGUAGUCC
rnacentral:rRNA from 1 species